rnacentral:lncRNA from 1 species
GGCCAACAGAGGACUCACUUCCCGUCCUUUCCUCAUAUGUGAUUGGGGCUCUGUUAGGGCCUUUGGAGACCUUACCCACGGGCUCCGGGGGGUAGGGGGCGUGAGUCUGCUCGGUGUGUGGCUCUCAAGAACCUUGGCACUGCGUUAAUCCAAUUUCUGCAGUCCUGGAAGGAAGUGCUUGGUUCUCCGGGAACAGCCCUGCUGCACUGGCCUCAGCUCCACCAGACCCUGAGAACCGCUUCUGAGCGGAGAUCGAGUCAGAAGAGAAAUCAGGGGGACAUUGACAAGAGAAGGAGUUUGGAGUGUAAUUGA